UGUAAAACUCUUGUAGGGUAUAAAACGUAGUUUUAUACCCUACGUGAUGGUUUGUGACUUAAGGUUUGGGGUGUAUUUGUGUCUCUGAACGGUAGGGUAUACAAGGAAGGGAGGGUUGCCCGCUGCUAUAGUCUGCCCAUUAUUGGUGUGGCUGGGACCUUAGUGUGAGGGAGACAGCCGUGAGGGAGACAGCCGUGAGGAAGACAGCCGUGAGGAAGACAGCCGUGAGGAAGACAGCCGUGAGGAAGACAGCCUGAAGGGGUAAACCCGUGCGGGGUCCUGCAGCGCCAGGAGUAGUGGAGGAUCGACCCUCCGUUCACAGAUCUCGCUACCUUGUGAACUUCUACCCGGUGGAACACACUUAGGAAGACACUUAAGAGAUGGGAAAUAAUUUUGCUAUAUGAGAAAUGUCUGAACCGUACAUCAGCUACAUCGUCCUCCCGUCUACCACACCAUCCACAGGUCCAUCCACUCCUGGCUGACACCUUGACGUGCAGGUAAUGGUGGGUAAACAGGCAAGAACACCAGGAGUCCUACACCUUCACUGGUCAGUCCUGGAUCUACAGGCAACCUCCAGUAAUACUUUUAUCAAAGGGGCCUGCCACACUGCUUCCCGUAUCUCUCCAAGGGUCAUCUCGUGUGAAUCAAGAUAAUCCAUAGACGCUGGGUGGAGAGAGAACCAUUGCAGCACUACCGAUGGACUGGUAAAUUAGACCAGGGCAUAUAGACUACUUUUCCUUGUCUAGUUGCUGGAUUUUGCGUAACACUUGUGGUGGUUCACUAAACUUGAAGCAGUUUCACAAGAGGAAUAUCCCCUCUGAUGAGAUAAAAGGGAAAUGUAGGGGAAGGGAGUAUUUAGAUUCAGUCCAAGAGAAGAAAAUGUACAAUUCCUUGGAUCAAGGGCCCCCUUUGCUCUGGCGAAGUACCCUUUAUGAAGACAGCUUCAGGGUACUCAAUUUCAAGGUUAAGGAAAAAAAAAAGUAAAAUAUAUGGAUCCCCAUGCACAGUCCACUUGUGGGAACAGCACUGUCUUGACUAUGGUGCUCCUUGGCAUGGCUAACUAGCAAUCCUCCCAUCACAAAAAAAAAAAUCUGACUGAAGUGUAACAGGAUGAAGUUGGGGAUUGGCUUAACUCUAAUGUAACUAUUUCAUGGACUAAAUUCAUGUGGGUAAUUCAGCACAAGCCAUAAUGGAGGCAUCAUCCUCCAUCUGCUAGUCAUGACCCUAGUCUUCAGUUUCAAAUACAAUACUGAAGGGUUUAUAGUAAAUGUCCCCCUCUUCAAGGGGGGCUCCUUGGCGUGGUGAAGAGGCUCUUGGUCUGCGGAAUUAGCCCUGUCGGUCUUCUUCCUCAGACCGAACCUAAUUACCCCCCAUUCUCCCCUCCCCUAUCCCAUCCUCCCCAUCCUCCCCUUUUUCCAUUCCUCCUCCUCCUCCUCACCCCUCCCUUUUGCCCUUCCUCUUUUUGGCCUUUGGGAUUUCUCCCACAGGCGCGCUAGUUCCUAGGUAGGGGAAAGGACACUGGGGUCCAUCCCAUUCCGUUGAGGUUCUUGGCAGUGGCGUAGUGUGCCGUGGAAUCUGGAUUGCCUGGGGAUGUCCCGAUCCCUCUCCGGUAUCCCAGAGUAGCAUUGGGUGUCUUUCGGGCGACGGGUGUAUCUCUGGAAGCCAGCUUUCA